UCGAAGAGUUCACUUGUUUAUUUACUGAUAUUGAAGACGUAAUUUCCCAACCAUGAAGGGUCUUAUUGUGUUUUUCGCCGUUGUGUUGGCAACCUUCGCAGUCACAUCUGCUUUUGAAGAAACGGAAGCAGAUGACAUGAUAGUUUACGCAGAAGCAGAACCACAAUUGGCAGAAGCAGGGCCACUUCUUCACCGAAUGCGCAGAGAAGAUUGUAACUUCAAAGAAUGUGAUCAGUUAUGCCGCAGACUUCGUUUACCAGGUGGCGCGUGCGUCGGGAAUAAAUGUGACUGUGAUCGAUUUUAGGACUGUCCAUUGUGUUAUGUUUUAAUGUUUAUUAUCUAGAUCCAGAGAGAAAUGUAAGAAAUAAAAAAAAUACGCAUCAUAGUUUAUUGUCAGGUCGUAUGGAGUUAUGAAGAAUUAUUAUUUGGCUUAUAUUAAAAUAUGAAAAUGUAAUUACCAGAAAUUUCAAUAAAUGAAAUGAAGAACGAAAUUCA
rnacentral:lncRNA from 1 species